rnacentral:rRNA from 1 species
UACGUAGGGUGCAAGCGUUGUCCGGAAUUAUUGGGCGUAAAGAGCUCGUAGGCGGUUCGUCACGUCGGCUGUGAAAUCCCGAGGCUCAACCUCGGGUCUGCAGUCGAUACGGGCGGACUUGAGUACUGCAGGGGAGACUGGAAUUCCUGGUGUAGCGGUGAAAUGCGCAGAUAUCAGGAGGAACACCGGUGGCGAAGGCGGGUCUCUGGGCCGUUACUGACGCUGAGGAGCGAAAGCAUGGGGAGCGAACAGG